UACGAAGGGUGCAAGCGUUACUCGGAAUUACUGGGCGUAAAGCGUGCGUAGGUGGUUUGUUAAGUCUGAUGUGAAAGCCCUGGGCUCAACCUGGGAAUGGCAGUGGAUACUGGACAGCUAGAGUGCGGUAGAGGGUAGUGGAAUUCCCGGUGUAGCAGUGAAAUGCGUAGAGAUCGGGAGGAACACCAGUGGCGAAGGCGGCUACCUGGACCAGCACUGACACUGAAGCACGAAAGCGUGGGGAGCAAACAGG
rnacentral:rRNA from 1 species